GGGGUUGUGGCUCAGCGGUAGAGCAUUCACCUAGCACGUGUGAGGCCCUGGGUUCAAUCCUCAGCACCA
rnacentral:tRNA from 1 species